GGCGCCCACCGUGACCCAUCAGCACUCAUCCAACACAGGAGACGACCGGUUAGCCCAAGAUGAAGACAAGGCCGAGAAAUGGCCGGGCUCCAGGCUUGUGUGACAGCCCGAGAGUGGACAGGGCGCAGCCAUGACUCCAUCUCUUCUUACAGGACCUAGAAGCUCUGAGAGCCCUGGAACCCCCAAAGGAGCUGAGCAAAAGGGGCCCUCAAACGGACCAAAGUGAUCAGCUGUGGUUCUGCAUCUGCCAGACUUUUUCAGGGUCGUCCCCUGUGGCUUUCAGACGUCUGUUGGCCUGGGCACACUUCUGGCUUUCAAUAUGCAUCUUUCUCCUUUGCAACCCAAACACGAUGUGCAAAGGGUGGCACGCGGCCUUUGAGUGAACCUGGAAGUCAACGCCAGAUAAUUAUUCAGAUGUGUUACCAGCUGUGAUACAGAAGGGAACCAUAAUGGAGAGGGAAGCCAGAUGUCCCUGUCCAGCCAUGUCACAUCCUACUGACACACUUUGUCUGUGCCAUCACAAGAGGUCUCAUUAGCAAAUUGGCGUCUACCAGUGGAACAGGGAAAUAGAGAACACAAAGAAGAGCCGGGCUUUAGUGAGGCAUUUAAUAAUAUGGUUAAAGACAAUUUGGGCCGGGCACAGUGGCUCAUGCCUGUAAUCCCAGCACUUUGGGAGGCUGAGGUGGGCAGAUCACCUGAGGUCGGGAGUUCGAGACCAGCCUGACCAACAUGGAGAAACCCCGUCUCUACUAAAAAUACAAAAUUAGCUGGGCAUGUUGGUGCAUGCCUGUAAUUCCAGCUACUCCAGAGGCCGAGGCAAGAGAAUUGCUUGAACCUGGGAGGCGAAGAUUGUGGUGAGCAGAGAUUGUGCCAUUGCACUCCAGUCUAGGCAACAAGAGCAAAACUCUGUCUCAAAAAAAAAAAAAAAAAGAAAGAAAGAAAGAAA
rnacentral:sRNA from 1 species